rnacentral:rRNA from 1 species
UACGUAGGGCGCAAGCGUUAUCCGGAAUUAUUGGGCGUAAAGAGCUCGUAGGCGGUUUGUCGCGUCUGCCGUGAAAGUCCGGGGCUCAACUCCGGAUCUGCGGUGGGUACGGGCAGACUAGAGUGAUGUAGGGGGAGACUGGAAUUCCUGGUGUAGCGGUGAAAUGCGCAGAUAUCAGGAGGAACACCGAUGGCGAAGGCAGCUCGCUGGGACGGUACUGACGCUGAGACGCGAAAAGCGUGGGGAGCAAACAGG